AUUGAACGCUGGCGGCAGGCUUAACACAUGCAAGUCGAGCGAGCGGCGGACGGGUGAGUAAUGUCUGGGAAACUGGCUGAUGGAGGGGGAUAACUACUGGAAACGGUAGCUAAUACAGCAUACCAUCAGAUGUGGCAAUAUGGGAUAAGCUAGUGGGUGGGGUAAGGGCGAACCUAGGCGACGAUCCCUAGCUGGUCUGAGAGGAUGACCAGCCACACUGGAACUGAGACACGGCCGAGACUCCUACGGGACGCAGCAGUGGGGAAUAUUGCACAAUGGGCGCAAGUCUGAUGCAGCCAUGCCGCGUGUGUGAAGAAGGCCUUCGGAUUGUAAAGCACGUUCGUCUGGGAAGCGUUACCCACAGAGGAAGCACCGGCUAACUCCGUGCCAGCAGCCGCGGUAAUUC
rnacentral:rRNA from 1 species